GACGAACGCUGGCGGCGUGCUUAACACAUGCAAGUCGAACGGAAAGGCCCUUCGGUGUACUCGAGUUCCGAAGGGGUGCGUAACAGUAGGGUGAUCUGCCCUGCCCUUUGGGUUAGGCCUGGGAAACUGGGACUAAUACCGAAUAGGACCACGCGCUCCUUGGGGAGUGGGGGAAAGCGUUUGCGGUGUGGGAUGGGCGCGCGGUCUAUCAGCUUGUGGGUGGGGUAAUGGCCUACCAAGGCGACGACGGGUAGCCGGCCUGAGAGGGUGACCGGCCACACUGGGACUGAGAUACGGCCCAGACUCCUACGGGAGGCAGCAGUGGGGAAUAUUGCACAAUGGGCGCAAGCCUGAUGCAGCGACGCCGCGUGAGGGAUGACGGCCUUCGGGUUGUAAACCUCUUUCAAUAGGGACGAAGCGCGAGUGACGGUACCUAUAGAAGAAGCACCGGCUAACUACGUG
rnacentral:rRNA from 1 species